UAACUUACUUGGCUGGGACCUACCGGUGAUCAUUGAGGCCGGUAGUCCACGGCGAGGCUCGCACAUUGCACUUUUGUUGUGGGCUGAACCGUGCCAUAUCCCCGUGUUGGGGAUUUAUGGACAGCACAAUUUUUGAGUGCGGGGAUGGCGUCCGCGCCGCCCCUA
rnacentral:snRNA from 1 species